GAUGAACGCUGGCGGCGUGCCUAAUACAUGCAAGUCGAGCGAACAGACGAGGAGCUUGCUCCUCUGACGUUAGCGGCGGACGGGUGAGUAACACGUGGAUAACCUACCUAUAAGACUGGGAUAACUUCGGGAAACCGGAGCUAAUACCGGAUAAUAUAUUGAACCGCAUGGUUCAAUAGUGAAAGACGGUUUUGCUGUCACUUAUAGAUGGAUCCGCGCCGCAUUAGCUAGUUGGUAAGGUAACGGCUUACCAAGGCAACGAUGCGUAGCCGACCUGAGAGGGUGAUCGGCCACACUGGAACUGAGACACGGUCCAGACUCCUACGGGAGGCAGCAGUAGGGAAUCUUCCGCAAUGGGCGAAAGCAUGACGGAGCAACGCGGCGUGAGUGAUGAAGGUCUUCGGAUCGUAAAACUCUGUUAUUAGGGAAGAACAAAUGUGUAAGUAACUAUGCACGUAUUGACGGUACCUGAUCAAAAAGCCACGGCUAACUACGUG
rnacentral:rRNA from 1 species